AAGCAGGACACUUAUGUGCCUCUAGCUGCCAAGGAGGGCUGCAUCAUUAGGAUGCAGCAGACAUUCUCGGGGGCCUUCAUCCUUGGCAGCGGGGAUGCCAUCACCAUGGUGCAUCCCCACAGAUCUUGUUAAAAGUGUGCACAGAAGUCCCUGCAGAGUACCUGAGGACCUAGGAGUUCUCCUUCUCUUAAAUUAACACGGGAAACGUUUGCACUAUGGUGCCAUGUGCCUUGGCGUCUGCUCUGACCAGCUCAGUGGCUGCUCACACAGUCUUCAUCUUAUCUGUAAAGAUGACGGCCUGCACAUACAUUUGUCUGCAAUUCUGACAAAAGAAUUUAAUAAAAC
rnacentral:lncRNA from 1 species